GUCUCCGUAGCUCAGCUGGAUAGAGCAACGCCCUUCUAAGGCGUGGGUCGCGAGUUCGAAUCUCUCCGGGGACG
rnacentral:tRNA from 1 species